ACCAAUGUCACGACCCGGAACUCCCAUCGAGCCAGUGACAACCGCCGCGACGUCCCGAUAAGCACUCAUUACCCCGAAUGCCGAUCGAAACCCCGCAAGGCUUAGCAUCAACUUCCGCAUCUCCCCGGUGAGCGACAAUUAGAUAAAUCUCGCAUUUCAAGAAAAUAUAAGUUGGUUCCAACUCAAAAUAAUAAAAUAUUAUUUUCUAGCUCACAGAGGCAUUUUCGUCAAUUUUUUUUUUUUAAAUUUUGAAAUCCGAAAAAUGUAAUAUGUAAGUGGAAACACAUAUUUCAUGAUUUAAAUUAAAUUUUGAAGUCUACAACAUUCAUUUAAAGUAAAAUUAUAGCUAUUUGAAUAUAAUAAAAACAUUAAAUAAAAUAUUCUAUUUUCUUAAAACACAAUAUUUUCAAAGUCUUCCUAAAAUAACUUUUGUAGCGUAAAAGUAAAAUAAAUUUAGUUAUAUAGUAAUAAAGAUAAUUAAAGUAUGAAAUUUCGUUUACAGUGACACGUGGGCCCCNN
rnacentral:lncRNA from 1 species